AGCGAACGCUGGCGGCAGGCCUAAUACAUGCAAGUCGAGCGCACCUUCGGGUGAGCGGCGGACGGGUGAGUAACGCGUGGGAACGUGCCCUUUGGUACGGGAUAACUGAGGGAAACUUCAGCUAAUACCGUAUGUGCCCUACGGGGGAAAGAUUUAUCGCCAUUGGAGCGGCCCGCGUUGGAUUAGGUAGUUGGUGGGGUAAAGGCCCACCAAGCCGACGAUCCAUAGCUGGUCUGAGAGGAUGAUCAGCCACACUGGGACUGAGACACGGCCCAGACUCCUACGGGAGGCAGCAGUAGGGAAUCUUGCGCAAUGGGCGAAAGCCUGACGCAGCCAUGCCGCGUGAAUGAUGAAGGUCUUAGGAUUGUAAAAUUCUUUCACCGGGGAAGAUAAUGACGGUACCCGGAGAAGAAGCCCCGGCUAACUUCGUGCCAGCAGCCGCCGUAACAC
rnacentral:rRNA from 1 species